CCUACGGGGGGCUGCAGUCGAGGAUAGUCUACAAUGGUCGAAAGAUUGAUAGUGCGACGCCGCGUGAACGAUGAAGCAUUUCGGUGUGUAAAGUUCUUUUCUAUGCGAGCAGGUGCCUGGCGGUUAAGAGCUACCGGGUAUUGAUAUUAGUAUAGGAAUAAGCCACGGCUAACUCCGUGCCAGCAGCCGCGGUAAUACGGGGGUGGCAAGCGUUGUCCGGAAUUACUAGGCGUAAAGGGCAGGUAGGCGGAUUGGUAAGUUAAUUGUUAAAGGCCCAUGCUCACCAUGGGUAAGGCAGUUGAUACUGUCAGUCUGGAAGCGAGUGGGGGAAGACGGAAUUCCUGGUGUAGCGGUGGAAUGCGCAGAUAUCAGGAGGAACACCGAAGGCGAAGGCAGUCUUCUACGCUUUGCUUGACGCUAAACUGCGAAGGUGUGGGUAUCAAACAGGAUUAGAUACCCCUGUAGUC
rnacentral:rRNA from 1 species